rnacentral:misc_RNA from 1 species
ACGAACAACGGGGUCCGCCCCUUGUCCACAAACACACCCCUGUGCACGUUGAAGGCCCGGCUCGUUGAGUGGGUGGGCGACCGCCCAGGAUUCGUAGCCUCGCUUUCUUACACAAACUUCAGAAUGUACAUCAGAAUGUCUUGCGCGUGUAACGCAUCGUAAUA